CUGACCUUUUGACAGCUUCAAGGCUCUCCACAGCAUGUUUCAGUGACUUCCAGUGGGAGAAUGUGGUUCUGAUCUUUUGUUCCAUUCAGCAAGAAGAUGACUAGGAAGAAAAAGUGUAAGAAGUACCUGUCUGGAAGAGAAGAACAACUACGGUCCCCACGAGCCUUUUCAAGUACUGUUAUCAUUCCUGCUCAAGGGAACAGAUAUAAGGGUGCAGGUCAUCUGACUCAUCCCUCUUCUUGUCUCACCGUGUUCCCUGUCGGAUCGGCUCGCUACUGCUGCUCCCGACUGCACGCAAGGCUUCAGUAUUAGUGUAAGGCCUUUGGCUCUCGGACAACCUUUCUCUCAAUUACUGUUGAUUUAUAUUGUAUUAUAGUGUGUUAUCUUACAUUCCGAUACUAUAUUUAGUAAAUUAGUUUGUUUCUCCU
ensembl:lncRNA